rnacentral:rRNA from 1 species
CUCCGGGUGAUCCUGCCGGACCCGACUGCUAUCAGAGUGGGACUAAGCCAUGCGAGUCAACAUAGCAAUAUGUGGCAUACGGCUCAGUAACACGUAGUCAACAUGCCCAGGGGACGUGGAUAACCUCGGGAAACUGAGGAUAAACCGCGAUAGGUCAUCACUUCUGGAAUGGGUAAUGACUUAAAUCUAUAUGGCCCCUGGAUUGGACUGCGGCCGAUCAGGCUGUUGGUGAGGUAAUGGCCCACCAAACCUGUAACCGGUACGGGCUCUGAGAGGAGGAGCCCGGAGAUGGGCACUGAGACAAGGGCCCAGGCCCUAUGGGGCGCAGCAGGCGCGAAACCUCUGCAAUAGGCGAAAGCUUGACAGGGUUACUCUGAGUGAUUUCCGUUAAGGAGAUCUUUUGGCACCUCUAAAAAUGGUGCAGAAUAAGGGGUGGGCAAGUCUGGUGUCAGCCGCCGCGGUAAUACCAGCACCCCGAGUGGUCGGGACGUUUAUUGGGCCUAAAGCAUCCGUAGCCGGUUCUACAAGUCUUCCGUUAAAUCCACCUGCUUAACAGAUGGGCUGCGGAAGAUACUAUAGAGCUAGGAGGCGGGAGAGGCAAGCGGUACUCGAUGGGUAGGGGUAAAAUCCGUUGAUCCAUUGAAGACCACCAGUGGCGAAGGCGGCUUGCCAGAACGCGCUCGACGGUGAGGGAUGAAAGCUGGGGGAGCAAACCGGAUUAGAUACCCGGGUAGUCCCAGCUGUAAACGAUGCAGACUCGGUGAUGAGUUGGCUUAUUGCUAACUCAGUGCCGCAGGGAAGCCGUUAAGUUUGCCGCCUGGGGAGUACGGUCGCAAGACUGAAACUUAAAGGAUUGGCGGGGGAGCA